GAUGAACGCUGGCGGCGUGCUUAACACAUGCAAGUCGAGCGAGAAGUUUUGAAAAGAUUCUUCGGAUGAAAUUUAAAAUGGAAAGCGGCGGACGGGUGAGUAACGCGUAGGCAACCUGCCCCAUACAAAGGGAUAGCAUUUGGAAACGAAUAUUAAUACCUUAUGAAACUUAACUAGUGCAUGCUAGGUAGGUCAAAGAUUUAUCGGUAUGGGAUGGGCCUGCGUCUGAUUAGCUAGUUGGUGAGGUAACGGCUCACCAAGGCGACGAUCAGUAGCCGACCUGAGAGGGUGAACGGCCACAUUGGAACUGAGACACGGUCCAAACUCCUACGGGAGGCAGCAGUGGGGAAUAUUGCACAAUGGGGGAAACCCUGAUGCAGCAACGCCGCGUGAACGAUGAAGGCCUCUGGGUCGUAAAGUUCUGUUCUAGGUGAUGAAAACUGACAGUAACCUAGGAGAAAGCCCCGGCUAACUCCGUG
rnacentral:rRNA from 1 species